UUAUAGAGUGGAGCCCAUUAUUGAAAGCCCAAUUUUUUAUGAGCCGAACAAUGUUUCUAGGGUUUCGUCUUCGAUACCAAAACAUUUCUUCCGUUCGUCUGAAACGAAAACGAUCGAGUGGCCAGGUAUUCUCUUCUCUCCCGUCGCUCUAUAUUCUCUUCUAAUCUACUGAAACGCUCAGAGUUAGAUCAAUCGCCUUUACCCUCUUCUUAACUCACGAUCUGACAUUGAAUGCGAGUUUACCCCCUGAAAGUCUGUGUAUCUACACCUAUGUAAAGUCCAGACGCUGCUCCUACACCGUUCAAGUGAUGUUCCCCAACUGACGUGUAGUUGAUUGAGGCAGUAUUUGAAAGAGAACGUAGCUUUGGAUACCUGAGCUUCGGGAUGGGACCCAAGCGUGAGGUCAUUGUGAAGGUUCGAUACUUGGCCGAGCUAUGGAGGAGAGUGGUCGCGUGAUUGAAGCCGCCAAUUAACUUACCUGAUAUGCAUGUGAUGCGUCGUCUCAAGUGAUACUAGGCAAGCUGAGCAGACAAGAAACAACAUGGAGAGUAAUCAUGAAGUCUAUGCUAUGUUAAAAGGUUUGAAUUCUUGGACAUGGUGGUGAUGCACGAAGUGUUCUUGUGGGAACAAGAAAAGAAUGAAGCGAAUGGACAAGAAAAAGAACAAUGCCGAUCAACUCGCUGUGGGUCGCAAAAAGGCUAGUUCCACUUUUUGGGCCUGGUGUUUUGGCUGGUGAAGCUACUGCGACCAAAGUGACUGAUGUGCGCUCUUUUCCUUAAAAAAACUCAUAUGUAUACAUCUGCAGACGAAGUCAUCAAAUUCUCUUCUCGACUUUAACCAGAAAAUGGGGUCUUCCUUGGUUUCGAGACUGUAAGGAGACACUCACGAGAUUUUCCAUGGUAAGCUUUGUUCAUCUCAAUGAAAGACUUCUGAACGUUUGCAUUUGCAGGUAUAGAGAACACUUUUAAUAAUUGAUCAUGCGUACAAGAGAUCUAAUUUUCGAAGGAUUUGACUGCAGCUCUAAAGUACUCGGGAUCCCCACUGGUCUGUAUAGUAACCAUCCAACCCGGCUUUUCUUUUCACUUGAUAUAUUUGCAUGACCUCUUUUAUUAUCCCUGCAUUUGUUGUCAUUUAAUUGGAUACAACUUUAAGAUUGAACAGUAUCUCCACCUUAUUAUAAACAUGGUGGGAAAUGGAUGAACCAAUAGGUUAGGUUUUGUCCACGUAGAAGUGUGGAUUCCUAUGAUUCGAAGUUUCCAUCAAUGUCACUAUGUAACCUUUCAUUGCCUCUAUUCCCCUUUGAUUUUGAGCCUAACAUAACUUCGACUAAGUUUGUUUUAUAACCAUUUGUAUCCAUAGCAAAGAGAUUUAAUAAAAAAUAGUGAUACUCAAUUAUUCUAAUUUAUAUUCCUAGAUUAAGAAAUUAAGAAUUAUAAGUUCAAUCCACAUAUUUUUCAUGUGCUUUCAUAAAGGGAAAAUUGGUUUUAGGCAUUUUGUGCUACAAAAAAAAAAAAUUCUUGCGUUAAAUCCUAUAUUUUUAUUAAUAGGAGCUUUAGGUAUAAUUUUUUUUAUCUGACGAAUAAAAAACAAUAUCUCUGAUAUAAAAACCAAUCCAGAUAAAAGAAAAUAUUCUACUUUUUUUCUAAUACUUUUUAAAAUUUUAAAUAAUUUAUUCAUCAUCUGCCAUUUUUUACUAAUUCAAAAUGUACAAUUACAAGGUUUGGUAAAAAAUAGUGUUAAUCCAUAUAAAACUUCAGAGAUAACAAAUCUACUAACUAACAUGCAUAUGACAAAUCAGCUAAUAUAGCAAAAAAGAAUAUUCAUUACAAAAACAAAUAAAUGAAUGUUUCAGAUUCUUUGUGAAGUAAAAACCUCUUUUUCAACAAUAGUUUUGCACUGAAAAACACAAAAUAUGGUAAUCACAUUAAUCUACAAAUCUAUGAACCUUAUAUACUAAAUCACAAGUCACCAGACGAAUCAGAUACUGCCAUAUGGAAAUUAAUUUAAAUUUUAAAAAAAGAAAAAUGCAAAAAAAAAAUUGAAAUUAAACGUUUAAAUCAAAUAACGUAUCUUUUAUCAACUGCUUCUAUUAAUUUCUUUUCUUUACAAAAUAAAAUCCCUAAUACUUCUCACACUACACCCAUUAUCUCUCUCUGAAACCCACUCACGUUGCCAUAGUUUUAAAUUCAUCUCUUCCUCAUUUAGAAAUUGUAAGUUAUUUUUUUCUUUUGCAACAACUCCAUUGAUUCUCUCUGAAUUUUCAAUUUCUAACCUUAUUGAUCUAAAGCUUCUAAUGAUCGUACUACAGUUUUAGAUGCAGAUCAAAAUAGUUUCUCAUCAAGUAGUGGCACAACAAUAGUCUUCAAAAUAUAUUUUUUCAACUAAAUGAGCAGAAGAAAAACAAUAUAUGCUAUGGAUUGAUAGGUGGAUCCUACUGCAAAAUUGGAGGAUGAAGAUUAAAGUUCAGGUUUGUGAAACUAAAAACACACACAAACUCUUCAUUCUCAAAUAAUUUUUUUUUCAUGAAUUUUUGUACUCUGUUGAUCGAUUUAUAAGUUUUCCCUCUUUAGAUACUGAAAAAGCUACGUACAUACUCCAUAGUGAAAAAGGUAAAGAUAAACAAGAUAUGUAAAUAUCAUUUCUAAAUGGAAAAUCAAAUAUUGAUUUAAUGAUUUCCUGAACUGUUAUUGUAGCGAUAGUUUUUUUUUUUGAAACUAUUGUUAUAGCGAUAGUUCAGAAAAGGAGAAAUUACAAAAAUGUAAAAUGUGGAGAUGAUUAAAAGACAACAAAUGGACCCAAGAAACUCAUAUGGUAGAGAAAACGAGAACAAGAUAUGCCUACUCUCUAGAUCAAGAUCUCACCUGGUCAGCUGUUCAUUUAAUAGCUCAAGUUGUGGGCAAACAAGCCGAUUCUCCGAAGAGCACUUCCGUUUGUCCAGAUCUGAUCUAUAUUGGAGAAAAUAUAACUUCUGAUUCUUGCUUCUCUCGCUAGCGAAUCCGUCUGACCAUUCCGACUCUGAGGAAUAUGAAUCAUACUCACAUCCUCAAAGUUUUCCUCAUACAAACAAAUAUUUUGUAUCAUUUAUUUAAUAAAUGUUUCAAAUUGAUAUUAUUUAUUUUUCUGAUACUAUUUAUGUGAUAUUAUAUGAUCUUUUUUCUUA